rnacentral:rRNA from 1 species
GACGAACGCUGGCGGCGUGCCUAAUACAUGCAAGUCGAACGAGUGGCGGAAGGGUGAGUAACACGUGGGAACCUACCCAUCAGAGGGGGAUAACUACUGGAAACGGGGGCUAAUACCGCAUACUAUCGGAUGAAACCAUAUGGGAUUAGCUAGUAGGUGGGGUAAAGGCUCACCUAGGAGCCGAUCUCUAGCUGGUCUGAGAGGAUGGUCAGCCACACGGGGACGGAGACAGGGCCCAGACUCCUACGGGAGGCAGCAGUGGGGAAUAUUGCACAAUGGGCGCAAGCCUGAUGCAGCCAUGCCGCGUGUAUGAAGAAGGCCUUAGGGUUGUAAAGUACUUUCAGCGGGGAGGCGUUACCCGCAGAAGAAGCACCGGCUAACUCCGUGCCAGCAGCCGCGGUAAUAC